rnacentral:misc_RNA from 1 species
UCAAACUUGGUCAUUUAGAGGAAGUAAAAGUCGUAACAAGGUAUCCGUAGGUGACCCUGCGGAUGGAUCAUUCAUAUGAUAAAUGGCCACAGCAAUGUUGGCUGUUUUGUUUUGUGCAAUGUAACAUGUGAGUGUAUGUGUGUGUCGCUCUUUUUGGAGAGUGACACAUGCAUGCAUCUAUUUUUUAACUCUACUAUUUUACCUCAUACUCUGAACACAAUCAAAGAACCUUGAAAACUGCCAGCAAUGGAUCCCUCGGUUCUCGCAUCGAUGAAGAACGCAGC